GAGUUUGAUUCUGGCUCAGGAUGAACGCUGGCGGCGUGCCUAACACAUGCAAGUCGAACGGAGAACUUAAGUGGAAGUUUUCGGAUGGAAACUUUUGUUCUUAGUGGCGGACGGGUGAGUAACGCGUGGGCAACCUGCCUCAUACAGGGGGACAACAGACGGAAACGUCUGCUAAGACCGCAUACGUCUUUUUGGUCGCAUGACUGAGAAGGGAAAAGAGCAAUCUGGUAUGAGAUGGGCCCGCGUCUGAUUAGCUGGUUGGUAAGGUAACGGCUUACCAAGGCAACGAUCAGUAGCCGGACUGAGAGGUCGGACGGCCACAUUGGGACUGAGACACGGCCCAAACUCCUACGGGAGGCAGCAGUGGGGGAUAUUGCACAAUGGAGGAAACUCUGAUGCAGCGACGCCGCGUGAGUGAAGAAGUAUUUCGGUAUGUAAAGCUCUAUCAGCAGGGAAGAUGAUGACGUACCUGACUAAGAGCCCC
rnacentral:rRNA from 1 species